rnacentral:pre_miRNA from 1 species
AGGAGGUGGUCGAGGGAAUCUGAGAAGGUGCACAAGGUUUGUGUCCAAUAUGCUCCACACCUUGCGCUACUCAGGUCCACUCGUGCCCUCCC